CCUGUUGGGAGCAAUGCUACAUAAUUCUAGGGAAAAAUCAUUUGGUUAGCCUAGUUCUCUUGCCUACAGCCCAGCUACAGAAUAACUCCAGUUUGGCCUCCGGUCACAACUGAGACUUCAGUGAUCCAGUGAUGCUGUGAUUCUCCAGGACAAGAAACAUCCUGGGAGAACAAACAUCUGCUCAGUUCCUCAUUGUUCUUGGACUGAUUAAUAUCUUGUUUGCCGGAGAUGUACUGAACUCUCUGCAAGCCUUCCGUUACACCUUGUUUAUCCCAAUGUGAACUGUUGAACUCUCUGCAAGUCAUUUGUUACAUUUGUUUCUCCCGAUGUACUGAAUAAAAGGUGUGGUAAGCUGCGGGCUUUGUCUUUGCUGCCCAGAGCAGCACUGAUCAGAACCAAAGCUCAGCUUCUUCUCAGUCUCGUUUUUCUACCUUUCCUGUAAUUCGCCGUGUGCUGCCGUGGCUCGCAGGAGACCAGGACUCACUGCAGAGGUUCUGGUAACGUCCCCUUCCCCUGUCCCCUACAUUUGGCGCCCAACGUGGAUGUGAAUCGGAUCCAGGGGUGAACUCGCCUGUGAGACAAACUUGGAGUAAGAGAGACAGCACACGGAUCUCCCAGGGUGAUUUCCGGACUAGGACGAGGGACACAGGUGGUAAGUGUGUCCAGUUGGGGAUAAUUUUCUGUCUUUGCUGAGUUAUAACUAUGGGUCAGUCUCUGUCAACAGAACAGCGUAACUUUGCCAAAUUACUUAAGUCGCUGUUAAAGCAAGCUAUGUACCCAGUACCUAAGGGUGCUGUGAAGAUUUGUUAAAAGACAUGCAAAUGUAUAUCCCAUCUUUCCCCCAGGAAGGGACAGCUUAACUUAAUAUCAUGGGAACGUGUAGGUACCGCUCUCUGUGAGGCCUGGCAAAGGGGUAAUUGUCUCUUCCCUGAACGUUCCCCUCUUGGGCCUUAGUCCACUGAGGUCAGAGUUGCUAGCCAUUAUAUUUGUGAUUGAAAACUUCCCUCCCCAACCUCUUAAUAUUUUAAAUGAUUCCUCUUAUACAGUUUGGUUGACUCAAAGACUAAGGAGCAAUGGUCUACUCUACCUUAGAACCUAAAUUAUUAAACUUGUUUUUAAGAUUACAAAAAGCCAUAUGUCAAAAAAUUUCUCCUGCCUUAAUAACGUGGGGGAGAGGUUUCGCCCGUGCCCUAACAGAUAAUGAAAAAAUCUUGUGGCUGCCCUCCUGGAACGUGAGACAGUGGGUCAAGCUAGUGGAACCGCCACCAUCUCGCAGAAUGAGUGAUAGCACCCUGGCUGAAAGCAAUGAGCCAGCUACACCUCAGGGACCCACCUCACCAGCGACAACCAACAAAUCCAUGGCAGGGUCCAGGACUGAGAUGAUGCCCCCAGAGGAAUGAUAAUUAUAGAUUUAUGGUAAAAUUUAUAAAGGUGGGGGACAACUUCAAAAUGCUCUUUUUAUAUUUACAGGUAUAAAAACGCUUUCAUUCCUUCUGAUUCUAAUCUCGAGAUCUCUGUUAAUUGACUAUUCCAAAGUUUUUGACCAGUCAUACAAUUAUAAAUCUAAUAAUCAUAAAAAGGAUAUUAUGAUUCAAUUUGGCUAAAUAUAUUUGAGUGCACUCUAAUUUUAUAAAUUGUCUUAUAUGUUUGUCUGUUGUCUGUUGUUUGUCUGUACAGUUGAGCUCAAUUUUUUUUUUCUUUUCCUUUUCACCUUUUGAAAAAAAUUUUUUUUAAAAAACAUAUUCACCUAUUGUUAAAUUGGCUUACAGAUAAAUGUUAUUAAAUUAAAGGCAUGCCUUCCUUCCCAGGUUGCUAACUGAUCAAAAUGCCACCGAGAUUUAUUUUAUAAAAGUAAUGUCUAUUGUCACCUACAUGCAAUAAUCAGAUUGCAAUAAGCAGUUGUAAAAUAGGAAGAUAUAUAUAUUCUUAUUCUUUGUUUGUCAAAAUAGGUAGAGACUGUGGGUACUCCCUUUGGUGAAUAAAGAAGUGGCCACCCAGAAAAUAAUUAUUCUGGUCUUAAUUCAUUAAAGGGACCCCCUAGUAAUUUUUAUAAUCUUAUGGGAGACACACCACAACAAAUAUUGUCUCAAUGUGUUAUUAUAAAUUGAUUACAUUGGUUAUCAUUGAAGUUUAAAUUCUAAAUAUGUUAUAAAUUGAUUACAUUGGUUAUCAUUGAAGUUUAAAUUCUAAAUAUGUUAUAAAUUGAUUACAUUGGUUAUCAUUGAUGUUUAAGCACUAAAAAUGUGAUUGUAAAAUGUUUACAUUGGUUACGUUCUGAAUGUUAUUGUAAUAUGUCCACAUUGGUCAUCUUCAAAAGCUUAAUUUCUGUGUCAUAAAAAAGAGUGUUAUUAGAAAGACGGUUUUGGUACCAAACUACAGUGAAGAACAUAAGGUUUUAUGUAACUGUGAUAUUUAUUACUGCUCCUUUUCUGGUGUACAAAAUGUAUUCAUGCCCUCUAAUUGUAUGGGUUUUCUAACAUUGUUUAUGGUAAUAACCUUUUGAUUCAGGUAUUUGCCCUUCUCUUAUGCUCCAGCCACCUAUGAAAAUAGGCACACUUGUAGGCUGAUAAAUUUUCCUUAGAUGACGUCCUAUAAAAAGAUAGCUACUCAGGGAUCCAACCACAACAACAACUAUCAUUGGCAAUAAUAACAGUUUAACUAUAUUUUUAUUCCAAAAUGCUUAUAUCCAGGUAAAAUUAUAAUAGUUGAAUUCACUACUCCUCUUACAAUGCUAAUGUUAUUGAUCUUCUCUUCUGGGUGUUCAACAACCAAAGUUUAGAGACCAAAACUGAAGAGGUAUUUGGGCUAAGAAGGCAGCCAAUAUUUUGGCCCUGGCCCUCCAAGGUCAACAACAAUAACAAAAAGAUCCAGGACAUGAGGGAACCAUCUCUGAGAUCCUGCAUUUUUGUUAAGUCAUCCAACCUCCUGAGCAGGGAGGUUGAUGAACACCAAAACAGUAAAGAUCCAACAAAAAGUGUGCCAAAGGAAUGUCACCUGGAGGAAAAAAAAUCUCCCAUGCUUUCGCAGGAAGCAACAUGGUCAAGCAAGGCCGUGACAUAUCCUGAUGGCUGACACUGACAGAGGAGCUAAGAGGCUCUAUGCAUGGUUCCAAGACAGUGCCGGUGGAGACUUAAUUGACCUUGUUAGAUAACAAGAGAUUGAUUUUAUUUAAUAUAGGUCUCACCGUAACUUGGUCUUAAACACCCAGUAGAAAAGUAUAACUAAAGACAAUAGUUAUUUGAGUUCAACAAAAGUUUUAAGUUUUUAAACCCAAUGUUUAAAAGCAAAUUGUUAGAUUUUUUAAUCCUUUUACAGCCCCAAUUAAGAAAAAUUAUGCUUAUUAUAGACAGCUAAGCCAGUCAAACUAUAAAUCCUCACACUACAUAGGGACAAGCCAUUGUUGGGUGUGCUUGCUUUUCAAUAAAACCCCUUCACAUAAAACAAAAAGAAAGGGAGAUAUGUUGGGAGCAAUGCUACAUAAUUCUAGGGAAAAAUCAUUUGGUUAGCCUAGUUCUCUUGCCUACAGCCCAGCUACAGAAUAACUCCAGUUUGGCCUCCGGUCACAACUGAGACUUCAGUGAUCCAGUAAUGCUGUGAUUCUCCAGGACAAGAAACAUCCUGGGAGAACAAACAUCUGCUCAGUUCCUCAUUGUUCUUGGACUGAUUAACAUCUUGUUUGCCGGAGAUGUACUGAACUCUCUGCAAGCCUUCCGUUACACCUUGUUUAUCCCAAUGUGAACUGUUGAACUCUCUGCAAGUCAUUUGUUACAUUUGUUUCUCCCGAUGUACUGAAUAAAAGGUGUGGUAAGCUGCGGGCUUUGUCUUUGCUGCCCAGAGCAGCACUGAUCAGAACCAAAGCUCAGCUUCUUCUCAGUCUCGUUUUUCUACCUUUCCUGUAAUUCGCCGUGUGCUGCCGUGGCUCGCAGGAGACCAGGACUCACUGCAGAGGUUCUGGUAACGUCCCCUUCCCCGGUCCCCUACACACGCCCUACCGAGGUCCUGAGUCACACAGAACACGCCUAAUCAGCCCGCUGCAGACAGGCAGGUCUGCCCACACCCUACGGAGGUCCCUAGUCGCACAGAAUACGCCAAAUCAGCUCUCUGCACACAGGAAGGUCUGUGCAUACCCUACUGAAGUCCUGAGUUGCGCGGAAGACACUGAAUCACCCCGCUGCAGACAGGCAACCACCUGGUUCCACCCUACAAAGACGCAGAGGACACCAGACCACCAGACCAAGGAAAACACACAGGAUGGGUGAACAGUAAGAAGACAUAGGCACCUCUGAAGAGGUACAAGCAAGUCCUACUUCAGUGUGAUGAUCCUUCAGACUGGACUCUGAGUGCUGGUAUUACAUUCAUGUGCCACCAUGCCUGACUGGAGAUUGAACUUCUGAACUUCUGACCUUCUUGCCUCAGCCUCCCAGAGAAGUAUGACUACAGGUGUGGAUCACCAAGCCUAGUUAAGGUGGGGUUUUGUAAUCCCUUCUACUUACCAGUAUCACAGUGCUGUACCACAGACCCCUGUAGUCAGGUUCCAGUACCCACCUGCCCAGUAUAUGACGAAGGCCUGAGAAAAAGAAUACACUAAGAGACAGAACUAAG
ensembl:lncRNA